UACGGAGGGUGCGAGCGUUGUCCGGAAUCAUUGGGCGUAAAGGGCGCGUAGGUGGCCCGGUGAGUCUUUGGUGAAAGCGCGGGGCUCAACCCUGCGUCGGCCAGGGAUACUGCCGCGGCUCGAGCACUGUAGAGGCAGGCGGAAUUCCGGGUGUAGCGGUGGAAUGCGUAGAUAUCGGGAGGAACACCAGUGGCGAAGGCGACUUCCUGGCCUGUUCUUGACGCUGAGGCGCGAAAGCUAGGGUAGCAAACGGG
rnacentral:rRNA from 1 species